UGUAUUUAAGAUUCAACUGUAAAUUGUUUUCAAUUAUUUUGUAAUAAAAAUGAAGUUUUUCUGUUAGUUUUUGUUUUGAUUGUUUCCAUUUUUGAAUUAUUCAGUGUUGUUCACGUAGAAGUUGUCAUAUAAACAUUUUCGUUCUCCUUAUAACAGCAGUAGAGCAGAUCACUCAAGGCAUGCUGAGGCAGGAAUUCACAUUCAUACUACAUUUGGAAAGUAUCAACAUUUUAUAUUGAAUAUGGACUAGAAGAUACUGAUAAUAAUAAUGGUUUUAUGCAAUAUAUCUUUAAUGACGCCAAUACAGCAGAUCACUUAAGGUAUGCUGAGACAGGAAUUUGCAUUCAUACUACUUUUGGAAAGUAUCAACAUCUAAUGUUGAAAAUGAACUAGGAGAUACUGAUAAUAAUAAUGGUUUUAUGCAUUGUACGUUUAAUGGCAAUUGAAUAUAAUUUAUAGUACGAAUGACAAAAAAUAAUAAGUACGAAAAUCUUUAUAUGACAAUGGAUAAUACUGAAUAAUUCAGAAAUGAAAACAUGAAAACAAAAACUAACAGACAAACUUCAUUUUUGUUACAAAAUACUUGAAAAUAAUUUACUGUUAAAACUUAAAUACAAAUACGAAUGUAAAACUACAAAAUUAUAUGAGAUAUAAAUAUAAUGGAAAAAAUGAUAAGAAAUAAUAAUUAUGAUAAACCAUAAAAAUACUACAAGUACCAGAAUGUAUUGAAGAAUUAAAAUGUAAAAUGAGUUAAACCACAGAAUGCAUUUGUAUAUGAACUGAAAUUUGCUCCUUUUCAAUAUGAAAAAAUUAUGAAAUUGUGUUAUUCGUCAAAAUUAAAUUAUAAAAUCAUGAUUUAGAUUUUAUGAAGUAAAAAUAUCAAGUUAAAUGAAACAUAAUAGUUAAAAAUGAUAAAUUAAAAUCAUAUCCUUAGUCUCGUAGUCAAGGUUCAAGACACUUGUGUUAAUAUCGGCGUAAAAUAAUUAGUUUAUAACAACAAAAAUCUUUAUUAAAUGAACAACAAAUACACAAAUACAGCAAAAGCUGUGUAAAUAACGCUCUGUUACGGUAAGCAGGGACGCGAUCAAUGGCAAACGACCAACUAGUUUUUCCUCAUGGUGGAUCGGCCGUCUUCUUCAGUACGGCGACGCUUACACCCUCUGUCAGUGUUAACGUUUAAUAUUUGUUUGUUUUAUAAGCAAUUAAAAAUAUGGAUUUGUAAUAUAAGUCAAAUUAUCAUAUAAUAUCAUGUUUAACAAUUUUCAUCUAUAAAUAAUUAUAGCAAUUAUUA
rnacentral:lncRNA from 1 species